rnacentral:rRNA from 1 species
UACAGAGGUGGCGAGCGUUGUUCGGAAUUACUGGGCUUAAAGGGCGUGUAGGCGUUUAUGCAAGUCAUGUGUGGAAUCCCUGGGCUUAACCUGGGAAUAGCACGUGAAACUGUGUGAAUAGAGUGUAGUUAAGGAGGGCGGAAUUCCUGGUGUAGCGGUGAAAUGCAUAGAUAUCAGGAGGAAGGCCGGUGACGAAGGUGGCCCUCUGGGCUAUAACUGACGCUGAGGCGCGAAAGCGUGGGGAGCAAACAGG